rnacentral:rRNA from 1 species
AACUAACAAGGAUUCCCUUAGUAACGGCGAGCGAAAAGGGAAGAGCCCAGCGCUGAAUCUAAUGUCCCCCGGGCAUUAAGACAUGUGGCGUUUGGGACGAAACAUUGCCUGUGCAGAAUGAUCAUCCAAGUCCCUCUUGAACGGGGCCAUUACCCAUGGAGGGUGCUAGGCCCGUACGAUGAUUUUAUUGUGCAGUGCGUUUCGUCCGUAGAGUCGGGUUGCUUGGGAGUGCAGCCCAAAUCAGGUGGUAAACUCCAUCUAAGGCUAAAUAUGACCACGAGACCGAUAGCGAACAAGUACCGUGAGGGAAAGUGAAAAAAAAACUGAAGAGAGAGUUCAAUAGUACGUGAAACCUCUCGGGGGUAAGCGGGCAGAACUUGCAAGUAUUGGUGAGGAGAUUCAGGCUUAGUGUCGGUGACUGAGAGUAUGAAUUAAGUUGUUUGUUCGCAAACGGACUGAUGUGUGCUCUUUGUUUUGCUGAUUAUGCGCCGCAUUUCUUUUUACCAUCCGGGUUGCAUGCAACUGAGUUGGCAAUUUAGGUGCUGGGUGUCUGCGUGUCCUUUGGAUACGAGCCCUGGUUUUCCAAUUGCUCAUGCGGUUGUUGAAAGCGAACAGGCGUUUGUCGCGGUCAAAGUUUUUCACGAGUAGGGUUUGUGCAGUGCAUGGAUGGGUAACCAUAGUGUAUUGUACCGACUGAUUGUCAGUGAGAGAUUUUUGGCUCUGUUCAGUAUUGCAAUCUAAAGCAUGCGUGGUCUGCCUGU